rnacentral:rRNA from 1 species
CCUACGGGAGGCAGCAGUGGGGAAUAUUGCACAAUGGGGGAAACCCUGAUGCAGCGACGCCGCGUGAGUGAAGAAGUAAUUCGUUAUGUAAAGCUCUAUCAGCAGGGAAGAAAAUGACGGUACCUGAGUAAGAAGCCCCGGCUAACUACGUGCCAGCAGCCGCGGUAAUACGUAGGGGGCAAGCGUUAUCCGGAUUUACUGGGUGUAAAGGGAGCGUAGACGGCAGUGCAGGUCUGGAGUGAAAGGCGGGGGCUCAACCCCCGGACUGCUCUGGAAACCGGACGGCUGGAGUGCAGGAGAGGUAG